AACGCUGGCGGCGUGCCUAAUACAUGCAAGUCGAGCGAACAGAUAAGGAGCUUGCUCCUUUGACGUUAGCGGCGGACGGGUGAGUAACACGUGGGUAACCUACCUAUAAGACUGGAAUAACUCCGGGAAACCGGGGCUAAUGCCGGAUAACAUGUUGAACCGCAUGGUUCUACAGUGAAAGACGGUCUUGCUGUCACUUAUAGAUGGACCCGCGCCGUAUUAGCUAGUUGGUGGGGUAACGGCCUACCAAGGCGACGAUACGUAGCCGACCUGAGAGGGUGAUCGGCCACACUGGAACUGAGACACGGUCCAGACUCCUACGGGAGGCAGCAGUAGGGAAUCUUCCGCAAUGGGCGAAAGCCUGACGGAGCAACGCCGCGUGAGUGAUGAAGGUCUUCGGAUCGUAAAGCUCUGUUGUUAGGGAAGAACAAAUGUGUAAGUAACUGUGCACAUCUUGACGGUACCUAACCAGAAAGCCACGGCUAACUACGUGCCAGCAGCCGCGGUAAUACGUAGGUGGCAAGCGUUAUCCGGAAUUAUUGGGCGUAAAGCGCGCGUAGGCGGUUUUUUAAGUCUGAUGUGAAAGCCCACGGCUCAACCGUGGAGGGUCAUUGGAAACUGGAAAACUUGAGUGCAGAAGAGGAAAGUGGAAUUCCAUGUGUAGCGGUGAAAUGCGCAGAGAUAUGGAGGAACACCAGUGGCGAAGGCGGCUUUCUGGUCUGCAACUGACGCUGAUGUGCGAAAGCGUGGGGAUCAAACAGGAUUAGAUACCCUGGUAGUCCACGCCGUAAACGAUGAGUGCUAAGUGUUAGGGGGUUUCCGCCCCUUAGUGCUGCAGCUAACGCAUUAAGCACUCCGCCUGGGGAGUACGGUCGCAAGAC
rnacentral:rRNA from 1 species